rnacentral:rRNA from 1 species
GAUGAACGCUGGCGGCAUGCCUAAUACAUGCAAGUCGAGCGAACAGAUGAGAAGCUUGCUUCUCUGAUGUUAGCGGCGGACGGGUGAGUAACACGUGAGUAACCUACCUAUAAGACUGGGAUAACUACGGGAAACCGGGGCUAAUACCGGAUAAUAUUUUGAAACGCAUGGUUCAAUAGUGAAAGACGGUUUCGGCUGGCACUGAUCGAUGGACCCGCGCCGUAUUAGCUAGUUGGUAAGGUAACGGCUUACCAAGGCGACGAUACGUAGCCGACCUGAGAGGGUGAUCGGCCACACUGGAACUGAGACACGGUCCAGACUCCUACGGGAGGCAGCAGUAGGGAAUCUUCCGCAAUGGGCGAAAGCCUGACGGAGCAACGCCGCGUGAGUGAUGAAGGUCUUCGGAUCGUAAAACUCUGUUGUUAGGGAAGAACAAAUUUGUUAGUAACUGAACAAGUCUUGACGGUACCUAACCAGAAAGCCAUGGCUAACUACGUGCCAGCCGCCGCAGUAA